CGUAACAAGGUUUCCGUAGUCAUAUGCUUGUCUCAAAGAUUAAGCCAUGCAUGUCUAAGUAUAAGCAAUAUUAUACAGUGAAACUGCGAAUGGCUCAUUAAAUCAGUUAUCGUUUAUUUGAUAGUUCCUUUACUACAUGGUAUAACUGUGGUAAUUCUAGAGCUAAUACAUGCUUAAAAUCUCGACCUUUUGGAAGAGAUGUAUUUAUUAGAUAAAAAAUCAACGUCUUCGUAAUAACUUUUCGAAUCGCAUGGCCUUGUGCUUUCUGGGGGGAGUAUGGGGCGAUGGUUCAUUCAAAUUUCUGCCCUAACAACUUUCGAUGGUAGGAUAGUGGCCUACCAUGGUUUCAACGGGUAACGGGGAAUAAGGGUUCGAUUCCGGAGAGGGAGCCUGAGAAACGGAUCCAAGGAAGGCGGGUCUCAGCAGGCGCGCAAAUUACCCAAUCCUAAUACAGGGAGGUAGUGCCAAUAAAUAACGAUACAGGGCCCUUAUGUAAUUCUACCACGGAAUGAGUACAAUGUAAAUACCUUAACGAGGAACAAUUGGAGGGCAAGUCUGGUGCCAGCAGCCGCGGUAAUUCCAGCUCCAAUAGCGUAUAUUAAAGUUGUUGCAGUUAAAAAGCUCGUAGUUGAACUUUGGGCCUGGUCGGCCGGUCCGGAUCUUUCCGUGUACUGGUUUAAAAUAGGACUUAAUUCGACCGCUGGCUAGCCCUGGGUCCUUGUGGCCCUUGGUGAACCAGGACUUUUACUUUGAAAAAAUUAGAGUGUUCAAAGCAGGCGUUUCGCUCGAAUAUAUUAGCAUGGAAUAAGUUUGGUUCUAUUUUGUUGGUCCGGUCCGGAUUUCUAGGACCAUCGUAAUGAUUAAAAGGGACGGUCGGGGGCAUCAGUAUUCAGUUGUCAGAGGUGAAAUUCUUGGAUUUACUGAAGACUAACUACGCCAAGGACGUAUUCAUUAAUCAAGAACGAAAGUGGGUGGUGGUGGUUAGGGGAUCGAAGAUGAUCAGAUACCGUCGUAGUCUUAACCAUAAACUAUGCCGACUAGGGAUCGGGUGGUGUACACUUACUGACCCACUCGGCACCUUACGAGAAAUGACUCCUUGAUGAUUCACAAAGUCUUUGGGUCGCAAGGCUGAAACUUAAAGGAAUUGACGGAAGGGCACCACCAGGAGUGGAGCCUGCGGCUUAAUUUGACUCAACAGCCGAUGGAAGUUUGAGGCAAUAACAGGCGGGGAAACUCACCAGUUGAGAGCUCUUUCUUGAUUCAUGGCCGUUCUUAGUUGGUGGCGUGAUGCGAACGCAUUCCCUGUCUGCUUAAUUGCGAUAACGAACGAGACCUUAACCUACUAAAUAGUGGUGCUAGCAUUUGCUGGAAUUUCCACUUCUUAGAGGGACUAUCGGUUUCAAUCUGUGAUGCCCUUAGACGUUCUGGGCCGCACGCGCGCUGUCCAGACACAAUAAGGAUUGACAGAUUACACUGACGGAGCCAGCGAGUCUAACCUUGGCCGAGAGGUCUGGGUAAUCUUGUGAAACUCCGUCGUGCUGGGGAUAGAGCAUUGUAAUUAUUGCUCUUCAACGAGGAAUUCCUAGUAAGCGCAAGUCAUCAACUUGCGUUGAUUACGUCCCUGCCCUUUGUACACACCGCCCGUCGCUAGUACCGAUUGAAUGGCUUAGUGAGGCCUCAGGAUCUGUUUAGAGAAGGGGGCAACUCCAUCUCAGAGCGGAGAAUCUGGUCAAACUUGGUCAUUUAGAGGAACUAAAAGUCUAUACCUGUGGUAAUU
rnacentral:rRNA from 1 species